AUUGCUUCUUGGCCUUUUAACUUAGAGCAAGUGUAGUUAGUAUAGUUUUUUUUAAUCUGUUUAAUAUUUGAUAUGUCCUCUAUCAGACAAUAUACAAAAUGGAUUUUGGAGCAGGGAGAUGAAAUAGGAGCUUGUUCCAUCCACUCCGUGCAUCGACCUGGUAUUGCAGUACCUCCAGGUAUGGUGCACUCCAC